AUCUGCUACUUCUAAUAAAACAAAAUAAUUUUUAGCCACUUGUCAUUAGUUUAACCCAUCACUUGCCACGUGUCAUUUGAUUACUCCCUUUUUUUCACAAUUGACCGCCAAAAUCCUUACUCCCUGAUGGAAAAGAAUGAGCGCUAAAACGAGAGAUGCUUAUGUCCUUUUCUUCACAUGUUUCUCAUUCAUUCAAGCGUUACUUUUCCUCUUUCCUUUCCAUCAAAUCGGGGUUUCCUUUUCUUCCCUCUUCAUCACCUUAAUAUCGUUAUAAUCAGAGUUUCUUUUCUUCCUCCUUCAUCAUCCUAUGUAAACCCUAAAGGAAUUCACAGCAGUUCUUCAAGGAUUAUUACCGAUUUAUUCUAAUGGAAUGAUGGAUCUUUCAAAUGCUGUUGUUCUACAAGCAACAGAGUCCCAAUGAUGGUGAAUGCAACGAUGCUGAAGAUAGUCUCAAUCAGGUAUAAAAUUAACCGAUUGUGUUUCAAUCUGGUUGAUUCGCGAUUGUUGUUGUUUUUUCCACAUGAUUCUCAUCUUUCUCUGAUCCAUUUACAAACCCUAGAUUUCAAUCGUGUUUGAGCAAAAGGUAUAUUCUCUUCUCGAUCUUUAAUGUAGUUAUCAUUCAUAUAUGUUCGUAUUUUAGUGUUUUAAACAAGUGUUAUUCAGUCCAAAAUCUGAAUCUUGAAUCGUGUUUGAGCACCAAUUUCAUUACAGCCGUUUAAUCAUUUUAGUCUACCAUUGGCUAUGCUUUAUUUGUGAUAAUUAAAGCUUAUAUGUGUGCUAAUCAAAUUUCUAUUAUGAACCACUAAUUGAGAUUAUUAAAAUUAGUUAGGAUGUGAAGGUUGUUAUACUGACUCAAUGAUGAUGGUGGUCAUGGUUGUGGGAAUCACUUAAUCCCUAUCAUUGAAUCUGGAUCACUUAAAGUUAUUAACGUGGAUCAGCUCUGAACUUCGUUGAUCUAGAAUUUAAGAAGAUGGCGAUCAAAAUAUGCGAUCUAGUCGUCUGUACCUAGCGAAGGUGUGUACGAUUAAGUGGGGCCUGGCGUCAUUGUGAGUUUAAAGUUCUUCAUUUUGGUUAAUUUAGUGAUCUUCGUCUGCCAUCUCAAGCAUUCCAUCAGUUUUCUCCUAUCCCUCAUCCUCUAUCCAGAGGAAAAAAAGACAGAUAAUGGUUGACGAUUCUUCGUUGAGGAAACCAAACGGCGAUGGAGAUGGAGACCACAGGCCAAACGCGACCGGAAGAGAAAAAACCAUACUGAUGAAGUUACUGGUAGACUUUCCACUUCAUUAAAGCAUCUCCCAAACGCUUUAAUGUUGUAUUCAACAUCGGAGGAAUAGGAGAUGAAAAUGCUUCUACAAGGGUGUUGCGUAUGUGCGAAACCUUCUUUGAAGACAACGAGAUCGUUGGACAACGAAAAGUUAGUUGUUGUACCAAACUCAUCGGACAAGUUCAAAGUUUUCGAGAGGUUAUGUCGGUUCUUUACAAAUCGACUUCAGGGAAUACCACCGCCUUUGACAAACUAUUAGACCACAGUUUGCAACAGGGAGGAAUUUGUAUGCAAAUAGAAAUCCAAAUUGAAAGCAUAGCGUUCUUGAUAGUCAAUGACCAAGUGGAAUCCUAGGAAACUAAUAACAGCUGAUCUAAGUUUUUGAGUUUGUAAGAUCUAAGUUUUCAGCCGCUUCAGCCAGAUCAAUGAAUGUGAAGGACUACAGGAAAAAUAAGUCUCUCAAAAUAUGCGAUUUUAACAUACAAUUGACUUUAACAUAACCUCAAUAAUAUCAAGUUUUUUGGUCUAUGAUGGUGAGCAUGGGCUUAUCUGAGAGGUUUCAUGAAGUUGUAUUCUGGUUCCGAUUAUUAUAAGCCCUAAUGUUGUAAGCUCAAUGAUGGCGAGCCAAGGAUCGGCUAAAGGCUUCUUGAAUGUGUAAGUUGGUGCUAUGUUGGUUGCUAAGGGAAAAUAUUUGUGGGAACAUAUAUUUUUAUAUUAUCAACCGGGAACUUCUUAAAGCUUUACCAAUUUGUACGCUUGGCUUUAAGUAAGUUUUGGGCAUUUAUUUGUCGAAUGCCAUUCUGACCUAUUUCUAAGGUUUCUAGAGCAAGCCACAUGUAUGUGCUCUCCUUGCUUUAUCUUCUCAUGGUCGCAUGGCUCUUUUUGCCGACAGACUACCAUUUCCGGACCUACUAAUGUCUGAUUUUCAAGACAUAAAACGGUGUUUCUAGAGGUUGUAUUUUCUCUUAAGGCUAUGAUGAGUCAAUACAUUUGAUUAUAAAGUUGAUGAUAUUGCCUUGGCAUGAUAGGGUUCAAGGAUGGCAGUUCAUUACUUGCAACCUUCCCUUCAACCAUGGUGGUAUUGUUGUUUUCUAGACUCUGAGCCUAUCAUAAGCAUAUUUGCCUCGACUAAAGUUUUCGUUUUAACUAUCCGAUGGUGCUUGGCUUUGUUUUGGUUUAAACUAAUAGAAUAAACAAGAAAGUAGCGGGGGUUGAGAAGCUUCCGUUGUUGUCUGUUGAGAUCAAACUCUCUCGAUCCAAUCGAACCUAUCGCCCCAAUCUAACAUGCGAAUGCACAACCUACACGUUACAGAUUUCAGCAACUUAAUUAACUCUUCUGUCAAUAGCCACUUCAGGGAAACUUCAUCACCAGAUUACUUUCUUCCAUUUCUGACCUUGGAAUCCAUAUAACCAUCAACAAUUCUAUAAAUCUGCAGGUUCGUGGAGGUUCAGUUGGAUUCAUUGAAUCGAUUUACGGUGUUUUGAAGCAUAUUCGAAUAGUGUGUACUGUUGCACAACAUAUAUGGGCUUUCAUAGAAAUCUGGUGCAAACUAAGCCGAUUUUAUAUUCUUGAGCUUAAAUAUUUGGUUGAUAUACAAAAUAAAUGCCACGGGUCAAGGAAAUGGAGACGCGCAAUAUUAUCGGUCAUGCAGACAACCCUAUGAAAUUAAAACGUAUGGCUUCCUAUGGGUUAAAAACAGGGCAAAAUGCAAUGCGUUGUCGUGGGAAGAUUGAUGUAAUUUCGAGUUACACUCUAUGGGGGUGUGAUGUAAUGUUUUUAUUUGGUAAACUAUGUAAUAUCUCCGGGUUAACAUUUUUGUUGACCGGUUAAUUUGAAUAAAAUAUUUUAUUGGCCGUUAAAAAAAUAUAUUUGUAGUAGUAAUGAA